AUUCCACUCUCUGAAAUGAAAAAUUUAUUUGGACUUUCUUAAGAGAGAUUGAACAUUACAGAAGAAAGAAUGAGUGAACUUGAAAAGAGAUCAAUAGAUAUCAUUCCAUCUGAAGUGCAAGGGAAAAUGAAACUGAAAGAAAACAAGGAAGCGAGUCUCCGUGACACGUGGUACAAUAUCAUGCAGUACACACGGAACCAGAACCAAGAAGAAAUGGCUGGAAAAGAUGAAAGAAAAAAAAAGUUGAUAUAGUCUCAAAUGUAGUGAAAAAACAUCAACUUAUAGAUUCAAAAAGUUCAUAAACCCCUCAUAAAAAUAAAUGUAAAGAAAACCCUACCUGGACACAUCAUAGUCAUCAUACAGAGCAAAUUUUGUGCAUUCACAGGUAACAAAGAUAUGAACGACAGCUGACUCAAAACAAUGGAGGCUCAGGAUGUGUGAAAUGGUGAAAGAAAGCUGUUGACUCACUAUUCACACUCAUUGAGAAUAUCCUUUAAAAAUAGUAAGUGAAGACGUUGUGGCAGGUUGAACUUUCCAAAUUUCACCACAACAACAAAUGUAACCAGAAUAAACAAUCCAAUUAAAAAGCAGAGUUUCCCCAACUAGGAAAAAAAAAAGCAAGCUGAAAUUAUUAACUGUCUAAAAUAUAUGCACCUUAAAUAUAAAGCUUCAGAUAGAUUGAAAGUAAAAGAUGGAGGCCGGGCAUGGUGGCUCAUGCCUGUAAUCUCAGCACUUUGGGAGGCCGAGGUUGGCGGAUCACUUGAGGUCAGGAGUUCAAGACCAGCCUGGUCAACAUGGUAAAACCUCAUCUCUGCUGAAAAUACAAAAAUUAGCUGGGCAUGGUGGCAGGUGCCUGUAAUCCCAGCUACUCGGGAGGCUGAGGCAGGAGAAUCAUUUGAACCCGGUAGGCGGAGGCAGGAAAAUCGCUUGAACCUGGGAGGCGGAGGUUGCAGUGAGCCGAGAUCGUGCCACUGCACUCCAGCCUGGGCGACAGAGCUUGACUCCAUCUCAAAAAAAAAAAAAAAAAAAAAAGGCAGGCUGAAUCACUCGCCCGGUAGUGACGGAGGAGGCCGUAAAAGCCUCUUAGAGGCCAGACCCCGCAGUGGCCUCUGUGUCCUUCAUUCCGCCACCCAUCCGUCCACCGAGCGCCUGCUGGGUGCCAGGAACUGGGUCACAGAAAGGCUGAGGUCAACUCCCGACCGAGAAGCCUGGCGCUGGGACCAAGUGGCAAAACGACUCCGAAUGCAGCGGCAUCCACGCGGCGGCCGUGGUUGAGGAACAGAAGCUGAG
rnacentral:lncRNA from 10 species